AAUGCGCAAGCGAUUGCAGCGGAAAUCCUUUUGCAAAGCAAAAGAUUGGAGCGUAAAGCGCGGUCGCCG
rnacentral:sRNA from 1 species